CUUAUUGUAAAUCGCUAAACGGUUUUAGAAAGAUUUGAACUUUCACCUGGGAUUUGAAGGGCAUUGCCCAACACCUGUACUAAUUCCACCAGAAAGCUGGUAGCUCCAAAGCAGGCGGUAUCUGACGGACCCAGGUAAGACAAACUAGGCUAAAAUAGGUUUACGAUUUGCAAUUGGAGUUGCCAGGGCAAUUUUGGCACCAUAGUGUUCCUUUAAAGUUCCACUGAUGGUUAACCUUGGAACCCCAGUUAUUGGUGAGCAUCAAUUUCCACAACACUCAGGGAGCCUCAAGGCAGACGAUUGAUUAUAGAAAAUGUUCUGUCUAAACAAAUUUGCCGUGAACGGAGGAGUUUUCAGAAAAGAUUUAAAAAAAAAUCAAGUGACCUUUCUUUUAUGAGGCAGGAUAUAAAAAAU